AUGCCGAGGUCCUCCUCCGCGCCCCGCAUCCUCGGCAGGGCCAUGGCCAUCCUCUCCCUGCCGCUCACCCCGCUCUCCAAGGCCAGGGCGGCGCGGACCCUGCUCCUCUUCAAGAAGCGCCGCGCGCGCCGCCUGCGCCACUACAACUACGCCUACGUCGGCGAGUACCAGUUCUCGCCCUCCGGCUCCCCGCUGCUCCUGCCCCGCCCGCCCGGCGUCUCCGCGUGGCGCGCCAAGCGGAGGAGCCGGGCCAGGACGGUCCUCGCCGCGCUCCUCUGCGGCGGCGGGUGCGGCUUCGACGGCGACGGCGGGAUCGACGUCGCCGUGCUCGACGGGCUGCUGCCCCUGCCUCGGGCUCUGCAGGACGAGCGGUCGGUUGACGACGACGGCGAGGAGGAAGCGUGCGACGGCGAGGAGGAGGAGGAAGUGGAGGUGGAGUUCGAGGGGGACGAGGAGGUGGACGGCCGCGCGGAGCGGUUCAUCGAGAGGUUCUACGAGGAGAUGAGGAUGCAGCAGCGGCGCCUCCUCUAG
rnacentral:rRNA from 1 species